rnacentral:rRNA from 1 species
GGCGAACGCUGGCGGCGUGCCUAAUACAUGCAAGUCGAACGCAUUUUCUUUCACCGUAGCUUGCUACACCGAAAGAAAAUGAGUGGCGAACGGGUGAGUAACACGUGGGUAACCUGCCCAUCAGCGGGGGAUAACAGUUGGAAACGACUGCUAAUACCGCAUAAGCGCACAGUACCGCAUGGUACGGUGUGAAAAACUCCGGUGGUAUGAGAUGGACCCGCGUCUGAUUAGGUAGUUGGUGGGGUAACGGCCUACCAAGCCGACGAUCAGUAGCCGACCUGAGAGGGUGACCGGCCACAUUGGGACUGAGACACGGCCCAA